UACAGAGGGUGCGAGCGUUAAUCGGAAUUACUGGGCGUAAAGCGCACGUAGUCGGCUUUGCAAGUCGGGUGUGAAAUCCCCGGGCUCAACCUGGGAACUGCAUCCGAGACUGCAUUGCUAGAGUAUGGGAGAGGGAAGCGGAAUUUCCGGUGUAGCGGUGAAAUGCGUAGAUAUCGGAAGGAACACCAGUGGCGAAAGCGGCUUCCUGGUCCAGCACCGACGUUCAGGCACGAAAGCGUGGGGAGCAAACAGG
rnacentral:rRNA from 1 species